rnacentral:rRNA from 1 species
AACGAACGCUGGCGGCAGGCUUAACACAUGCAAGUCGAGCGCCCCGCAAGGGGAGCGGCAGACGGGUGAGUAACGCGUGGGAACGUACCCUUUGCUACGGAAUAGCUCCGGGAAACUGGAAUUAAUACCGUAUGUGCCCUACGGGGGAAAGAUUUAUCGGCAAAGGAUCGGCCCGCGUUGGAUUAGCUAGUUGGUGGGGUAAUGGCCUACCAAGGCGACGAUCCAUAGCUGGUCUGAGAGGAUGAUCAGCCACAUUGGGACUGAGACACGGCCCAAACUCCUACGGGAGACAGCAGGGGGGAAUAUUGGACAAUGGGCGCAAGCCUGAUCCAGCCAUGCCGCGUGAGUGAUGAAGGCCUUAGGGUUGUAAAGCUCUUUCACCGGAGAAGAUAAUGACGGUAUCCGGAGAAGAAGCCCCGGCUAACUUCGUGCCAGCCGCCGCUGUAAUAC